UACGUAGGGUGCAAGCGUUGUCCGGAAUUAUUGGGCGUAAAGAGCUCGUAGGCGGUUUGUCGCGUCGGCUGUGAAAACCUGGGGCUCAACCCCGGGCCUGCAGCCGAUACGGGCAAACUAGAAUUCGGUAGGGGAGACUGGAAUUCCUGGUGUAGCGGUGAAAUGCGCAGAUAUCAGGAGGAACACCGGUGGCGAAGGCGGGUCUCUGGGCCGAUAUUGACGCUGAGGAGCGAAAGCUAGGGGAGCAAACAGG
rnacentral:rRNA from 1 species